rnacentral:lncRNA from 1 species
GCUAAGGUUAGUAUGUGUUAUGUUGACUCAAACGUGAGUGUGAACUAGUCUCAAGUCAUUUGGUGUUAGACACUGAGACAAACACAUAGGUGCUCGAAAAAGUAAUCGAGUACACUGAACGUCGAUCAAAAGAGAGUUCGAACAUACAUGUCAUGUAUGAACUCUAAAGUUGCAAUAUGCAAAGUAGUCCUUUGACCUGAGGCAUCAUAGAUGUCUAAUGGUUAGGUCUUUGAUCUUUGAUCAUGUCAAUGGCAUUCCUUCGGAUUGUCCACGG